GGUUGACCUCGGAUCAGGUAGGGAUACCCGCUGAACUUAAGCAUAUCAAUAAGCGGAGGAAAAGAAACCAACAGGGAUUGCCUCAGUAACGGCGAGUGAAGCGGCAACAGCUCAAAUUUGAAAUCUGGCUCCUUGGGGGGUCCGAGUUGUAAUUUGUAGAGGAUGCUUCGGGCAAGGCUGCGGUCUAAUUUGCUUGGAACAGCGAGUCACAGAGGGUGAGAGUCCCGUCUAGGACCGUGCGCCGCGUCCAGGUGAAGCUCCUUCGACGAGUCGAGUUGUUUGGGAAUGCAGCUCUAAAUGGGUGGUAAAUUUCAUCUAAAGCUAAAUAUUGGCCAGAGACCGAUAGCGCACAAGUAGAGUGAUCGAAAGAUGAAAAGCACUUUGAAAAGAGAGUUAAACAGUAUGUGAAAUUGUUGAAAGGGAAGCGCUUGCAACCAGACUUGCGUGUGACGGUUCCCCCCACCUUCUGGUGGGGCUACUCCGUCAUCUCCAGGCCAGCAUCGGUUCGGGUGGUCGGUCAAAGACUCCGGGAAUGUAUCUACCUCCGGGUCGACUUAUAGCCCGGGGUGCAAUGCGGCCCACCCGGACCGAGGAACGCGCUUCGGCCCGGAUGCUGGCGUAAUGGUUGUAAGCGGCCCGUCUUGAAACACGGACCAAGGAGUCUAACAUCUAUGCGAGUGUUUGGGUGUUAAACCCCUACGCGGAAUGAAAGUGAACGGAGGUAAGAACCCCGUCCGGGGCGCAUUAUCGACCGAUCCUGAUGUUUUCGGAUGGAUUUGAGUAAGAGCAUAGCUGUUGGGACCCGAAAGAUGGUGAACUAUGCCUGAAUAGGGUGAAGCCAGAGGAAACUCUGGUGGAGGCUCGCAGCGGUUCUGACGUGCAAAUCGAUCGUCAAAUUUGGGCAUAGGGGCGAAAGACCAAUC
rnacentral:rRNA from 1 species